UCCGAAUAUAAGACGCUGUUUUUUGCAUUGAAAUAAGACUGAAAAAGUGUGCAUGUACUGUCAUUAUUUUCUGUAUAAAAAAUUAUUUGGUGUUCAAAAAGUAUUUUUUCAAACUUGAGUCUUGAAAAAGAGGGGGUCGUCUUAUAAUCAGGGCCGUCUUAUAUUUGGGCCAAUCCGGUAUUCUAAUGUUUAACAAUAUUUUGGAGGGUUUCAAGAUUGUACUUAAGCCUUUCAUGCACCCUGUAACCGGAUAACAUGAUAAGCUGUCCACUGUAGUACCCGCCGUUUCCUUGAAAGGGUUAACGAGACGCCUCCAAAUUGGAAAACUUACUUGCUAACUUCGCUCACAUCUUAAACCUAGCAUCACAAACAGGCAAUCUGUUUUUUGUUGUUUUUUUUUAAUCACCACAUGCGCCGCUAUUAUGACACUGCCAGUCAGAAGAACGAGCUUCAUCGAAAAUGCAGACAGUCUCGUUUCACGCUUGUACGUCGGCCCGUUUUUUUCUGCUCUUCAUAAAUCAUUGACCUCAGACACAGUUUCAUGUGAACAUUUUUUUCCAUCUUCUUCAAGAGUGGUGAACACGUGUUUAUUACAUGGGUGUACCAUGUGUACCCCCACGGCUUGGUAUGAUAGCUGCGCCGGAAGCAGAAAUGAUCUGAGGUGAAAACUGUCUGCCACGCCAUUAGCUUCCCUUUUUAAGAGUUCACAUGACUGGAGUCCAAUUAGAGUCGGCGGCAGUUCGGCUCCACAGUUGCAUCUUUCAGGAAGAACAUGAUAUGAGUCAGGUUUGAAUUGAAGUCAAGUUGAAAAGAAACCAGCCAUUAGUUGGGCCUUUAGACUGUGUUGACUCUGGAGGCCUCCCUGCACUAACCCCGCGAAUGACAUUGCGAUCCCGUGGAGCAGAGACACACGAAAAGAAAAUAUCCCAGUGGGGGAGCUGGGCAAUAUUUUCUUUUCUGAAGGCUUUUAGUUGCAUCUUGACGGCGAGACAUGGUUCUACCUACUGGGAGCUCUUCUGCCCAGUGCCAGUUGUUAGAGCAAGCUGGUAACACAAGGCUGAGCAGCAGUAGCAGGGAGACAUGGGAGGUCAUGCUUUUUACUCAUCUACUUUGGACAGGCCAGCCGGUGAGAAUGGUAGCUAAGUGUAAUACGUGUGUGUGGGUGUGUGUGUGUGUGUGUGUGCGCUUUUACAUUAGUGCAGCCCCAGUGUGUGACAGACUUCAUGAUUUGAGACUGAGGGGAAAUGGAGAGGGAUGAACUUGGUUAAGAAAACACUAGUUUCCACUGGCGCCUCUCCACCCGCUACGGGGGACGAGGGAGGAAGAAGGGGGGUGGGGAAUAAGGGCUUUCAGACUGACGAGGGAAAUAAAUGUCCCCGGAUUAGAGUCUUUUUAAAAAGUUAUAAUUUUAAAAAAAAUCCUUUGUUAAAGGGUUUGUGUCCUCUGACAAGGAGUGUUUCUACUUUGUACCUGUUGGAUAACGUAUUUGGAAGACGGGAUGAACGAAAACGACCCCAGGAGAGAGAGGAGUUAUUCUGGAUGUGCAGCUGCAUGCAGACACGCGCGCCAACGCGCUGUGUAGUUCACUGACUGAUAAAAUCUUGCAUGAGCAUUCUAUGAUAAAUAGAUUACGGUACACCGUUAAAAAAAAAUGCUGUGUUGAAUUUACUCCGUUUUAUUUCACCAAGUGGUUCCAGUAAAUAUUUGAUUGUUCACUUUUUUGGUGCACUUUUUGCCUUCCUUAAAUGUAAAAAGUAUGACUCCACAUCUCAUUUGCCUGUACUGUACUUGAUAUGUAGAUUUCAUAUUCAGCUAAAAGGCUUCUGGCUCUCUCCGCUUUUCUUUUAUGAAUAGUGACUUUCUCUCAUUACGAUAUUAAUUUUUAAAAUUGCAGUUCAAAUGGUUUUAAAUGUUAUUUGGCCAGUUUGAGCAGAAGAUUGGAAACAUCAAUUUUAUAUUCAUUAAUCGUUAGGACAUGAGAAGGAUCCAUUAGUAAAUCACUUGGUGCGUCUGUGCGCGCGCGUGUGUGUGUGUGUGUGUGUGUACAAACGGGAGUAAUUGAAGCGCAGUGACAGCUUUCCUCCACUCACACUUUGUCCAGUUUUUUCCCAUUUCGGGUACAGCGUGGAACUAGAACAUAAAACAGAAGAGAAAAACAAGUUCCAUCUCUGUCUUUUUAUUUGUCUCUCGACUGUGUUUUGUGACCUCUCCUUCACUCCUUCCUCUCCCUCCCUCUUUCCCUUGCCUUCAGUGCUCCAUUGAGUUUAUUUUUAUGUCUGAUCCUGGCAUGCCUGGUGUCCCAACACAUUGUCUGAGAUGACUGAGAGAGCCCGGCUAAUGAAUGUCGAUGGGGUAGGAUGGUAGGAAGGAGCUAUUUAGAGGAGGAACUCGGCUGCCAUCAGCAUGGCUCCCUCUGGCUGCUCGGAGGCUGAAAUUACAUCUAACUUUGAAGUUAGGGGCAGCAACAGGACUAGCUUUGCGUGUGUGUGUGUGUGUGUGCAUGCGCACUACGUGGGAGGUUUAUUAUGCAUGAUCCACACUGUGAUGAGUCCUGAUGGCACUAUAUAGUGCUGCUAUUAAUCUGCCGGUGUAAAAUGUAUGUGUGCACUUUUAACUCCUUCACACGUGCACGCACACACACACACGAAUAUCUAUGCUGAAAUGCGUUCACACACAGAUACCACACUCACGACCCAGUUCACAGCUGGAUUCCAGUUUCACGCCGAGCCUUUUAAAGAUUAAGAUAAAGGUUUUGGGGGGGGUUUUUUCUUCACUUUCUCGCUCUCAUUAUCUUUGAGAAGGUUUAGCUGGCUGCAUACUGUGCUCACAGGCAAAACGCGAGUGAAAUUACACACACAUACACAUGCGUGUACAACGUUGCACAGAUUGGAGAUAGUUGUGUCGGGCUUGUUUGAGUUGCUAAUACGAGACGGAGUUUUGGGAUUAUUUUCAUGGCCGUUUGUUUCAGUGAGCCCUCGGAGAGAGGCGAAGUGGAAUCGGAUAGAUGGCUGGAUUCAUAUCGCAGUGUAUCUUGAGGUGCAGUGUGCAAAGUUGUGAUUAAAAAAAAAAAAGACAACGUCAAGGCCAUUAUUCCAUCAUUGGUGUAUUGAAAGAAGGAAAAAAAUCGAUGGUAUGUCACUACCUGCGUCACUGUGUUGGCGUCAUGUGCCGUUUAGUUACGAUGGUAAUGCGCACGUGCCAAGGUCACGUGAAAUAGGUGCCGAUGUACUUAAAAGCGGGGGUGCUUACCAGUCGGCAAAUUUUGUUGACCGUUACGCCGUGUCUUGAUGGGAGGAAGAAAAAGGAGGGAGGAAGAGGACGUGCUUGAUGGAGGAGACAGAGAAGAGGGUCCAAAAUCUGGAGGGCUUUUCUCCCAGUGGCAUUGAGCCCUGCCUUGAUGACUCUCCAGUCCGUUUCGGCGUGUUCCCGACCUGCCAGACUGAUUACAAACAGUGCUUGGCACUCGAGCUACUAACUGUCCAGCGGGACCAAAAUGGCGCUUGAGUAACAUUUGCUUUGGUCACACUGAGUCACACACUCAUACAGUUAAGUGUGGUCACACGCAUUCUCACACAUGGUCGGAGUCAGUGAUGUCACCGAUGGCCCCAUUCUUGCGGUCUCAUCGCUCUUUUGGAGGUGUGCGGCCAUCUGCUCGACUUGGCUAAACGAUAAAUCCAAGCACGCUUCAAACACACACACACACACACACACUGAAACUCUGAGAUACAAUUCUGUUGCCUGCUGUCGUAGUCAUCAACGUCUCGCAUGCCACGCUCCACGCAUAAAAUAGCGAACAGCCGCGACAGGAAGUACACAACGCGCCAAUCGAUCAACCGCCGAUUGUGAUGGGCUGAUUUUUGUGGAAGUACUGCAUGUGAUGCGUUAUCGGCUUUGUUCGUCCCACUGACUGGGGGGGGCGGGGUGGGGGGGUGAACGUUUGGGAGUGUUUGCGAAGGGAAUGUUGCUCUUGCGUCAGGGUUCGAUUGAGGUCUCAAACAUUCUCCAGACGUUCGCCGAUGACCUGUCGCCGCUUCUACCUGGGCAAAAUACUGAUUCACAUAAUUGAUGAUAUGAUACAGACCAAAGCAGUAUUGAAUCAUGAUUCUUUUUUUCUCGAUUUGAACCAAUGUCCCAAAUACAGCGAUGGAAAUAUAAAAUUUUGGG